GACGAACGCUGGCGGCGUGCUUAACACAUGCAAGUCGAACGGAAAGGCCCUGCUUUUGUGGGGUGCUCGAGUGGCGAACGGGUGAGUAACACGUGAGUAACCUGCCCUUGACUUUGGGAUAACUUCAGGAAACUGGGGCUAAUACCGGAUAGGAGCUCCUGCUGCAUGGGGGGGGUUGGAAAGUUUCGGCGGUUGGGGAUGGACUCGCGGCUUAUCAGCUUGUUGGUGGGGUAGUGGCUUACCAAGGCUUUGACGGGUAGCCGGCCUGGGAGGGUGACCGGCCACAUUGGGACUGAGAGACGGCCCAGACUCCUACGGGAGGCAGCAGUGGGGAAUAUUGCACAAUGGGCGGAAGCCUGAUGCAGCAACGCCGCGUGCGGGAUGACGGCCUUCGGGUUGUAAACCGCUUUCGCCUGUGACGAAGCGUGAGUGACGGUAAUGGGUAAAGAAGCACCGGCUAACUACGUG
rnacentral:rRNA from 1 species